rnacentral:rRNA from 1 species
CGGAUAGGUAGCAGACAAGCAUUUGACUGCUAUUAAAGUGGCUAAGGCCAUGAACAUGGAUGGACCUGCGGUGCAUUAGCUAGUUGGUGAGGUAACGGCCCACCAAGGCGACGAUGCAUAGCCGGCCUGAGAGGGCGGACGGCCACAUUGGGACUGAGACACGGCCCAAACUCCUACGGGAGGCAGCAGUAGGGAAUUUUCGUCAAUGGGGGGAACCCUGAACGAGCAAUGCCGCGUGAGUGAGGAAGGUCUUCGGAUCGUAAAGCUCUGUUGUAAGAGAAAAACGGCACUCAUAGGGAAUGAUGAGUGAGUGAUGGUAUCUUACCAGAAAGUCACGGCUAACUACGUGCCAGCAGCCGCGGUAAUACGUAGGUGGCGAGCGUUAUCCGGAAUGAUUGGGCGUAAAGGGUGCGUAGGUGGCAGAUCAAGUCUGGAGUAAAAGGUAUGGGCUCAACCCGUACUUGCUCUGGAAACUGAUCAGCUAGAGAACAGAAGAGGACGGCGGAACUCCAUGUGUAGCGGUAAAAUGCGUAGAUAUAUGGAAGAACACCGGUGGCGAAGGCGGCCGUCUGGUCUGGAUUCUGACACUGAAGCACGAAAGCGUGGGGAGCAAAUAGGAUUAGAUACCCUAGUAGUCCACGCCGUAAACGAUGAGAACUAGGUGUUGGGGGAAUAACUCAGUGCCGCAGUUAACGCAAUAAGUUCUCCGCCUGGGGAGUAUGCACGCAAGUGUGAAACUCAAAGGAAUUGACGGGGGCCCGCACAAGCGGUGGAGUAUGUGGUUUAAUUCGAAGCAACGCGAAGAACCUUACCAGGCCUUGACAUCCCUCGCAGAGGUAUAGAGAUAUAUCCGAGGUUAUCAAGGAGACAGGUGGUGCAUGGUUGUCGUCAGCUCGUGUCGUGAGAUGUUGGGUUAAGUCCCGCAACGAGCGCAACCCUUGUGAUAUGUUACUAACAUUGAGUUGAGGACUCAUAUCAGACUGCCGGUGAUAAACCGGAGGAAGGUGGGGAUGACGUCAAAUCGUCAUGCCCCCUAUGGCCUGGGCUACACACGUACUACAAUGGCGUCUACAAAGAGCGGCAAGCCUGUGAAGGCAAGCGAAUCUCAUAAAGGACGUCUCAGUUCGGAUUGAAGUCUGCAACCCGACUUCAUGAAGCUGGAAUCGCUAGUAAUCGCGAAUCAGCAUGUCGCGGUGAAUACGAUCUCGGGCCUUGCACU